rnacentral:rRNA from 1 species
GGGGAAUUUUCCGCAAUGGGCGAAAGCCUGACGGAACAAUACCGCGUGAGGGAGGAAGGCUCUUGGGUUGUAAACCUCUUUUCUCAGGGAAUAAGAANCUGAAGGUACCUGAGGAAUCAGCAUCGGCUAACUCCGUACCAGCAGCCGCGGUAAUANCGGAGGAUGCAAGCGUUAUCCGGAAUGAUUGGGCGUAAAGCGUCCGCAGGUGGUUUAUCAAGUCUGCUGUCAAAGAGUUUGGCUCAACCAAAUAAAGGCAGUGGAAACUGACAGACUGGAGUGCGGUAAGGGCAGAGGGAAUUCCUGGUGUAGCGGUGAAAUGCGUAGAGAUCAGGAAGAACACCGGUGGCGAAAGCGCUCUGCUGGGCCGUAACUGACACUGAGGGACGAAAGCUAGGGGAGCGAAUGGGAUUAGAUACCCCAGUAGUC